GCGGCGCGUGCGCUGGAUGCGCUUCUCGGCCUCCGAAGCCGAGUGUGCCAGGUUCGACUCCUGGGCGUCGCA
rnacentral:tRNA from 1 species